rnacentral:misc_RNA from 1 species
ACUCGAUCGUCAUCGCGCGAGCGUGCCGCCGCCGCUACGGAAAAGUAUGGAGGACAUUUCGUUGCCCCACGAUACCAGAGUCGAAGAUAUUUUAGCCGACUAUUUCACAAAGAAGAUCGAAGGGAAGGACGCAGAGGCCAAGGAGAAGCGCUCCGACUCGCAGCACAGUUCCAAGUCCAAGAAGUCCAAGAAGCGGAAGCACAAAAAGAAGAAAAAACACAAAUCACGAAAAGCUCAUUCAGGGAACGAGGAGGAUGAACCUGAUCGCUCCAGUGCAGAUGAAUGCUGGGUGGAGGUAACAGUAGGCAACGCCAAGGAGAACUCGGCCAAGGAUAAGUCAGAUAGUACUGACAAAGAACCAAAGAAGAAACUCAAGAGUAAGAGCAAGCAUAAAGACACUAGCGCUUCUUCAAAUACGGAUGCUGUAGCUGGUCAAGAUAUGCCAAAGGGAGAUAAGGAUGGUGCAUGCAAAGAUGACGACCACAGCAGCAAAGGUGGCAGUGAUCAGAAGGAGCCAACAAGUAAGGAUAACGUUAAGCAGCAGGCUGAACACUCUGGACGCUCAUCCAGAAAGUCAAGCUCAUCUACAUCUCCGGCCAAGAGCAACCGUGCUUCAAGUAGCUCAGACUCUGACGAUGAGCACAAAAAUGCGUCCACAGCAGAGCCUGCUAGCCAUACUUCAGAAGCAGAGUCAUCUAAAAAACCAACAAAAAAGAAAGGGCGAAGCUACAGGACAAAGCGCUGUCGAUCGUCUGGCUCAUCUGAAUCAUCCGAGGAUGACCAAGACAAGCAAAGCAGAAGUCGAAGCCGAAGCCUAUCGCACGGGGAGAGCCCUCGCCAUUCCAGGCAGAACAGGGCACGUAGUUCCAGCAGAAGCCGGCAUGGCACUCAAAGCAAGGAUUUGAGACGAGAAAGGAGCAAGGGCAGAGAUGAUAGAAAAUAUGACCGAUCACGAGAUCAUUCUCGUAGUCCGAAAAGGUCGAGUCCCAGUAGAAGCCAGCGUCGUGGCCGAAGUCGCAGCCAGCAGAGCCGUAGCCCCGGAAGAUUGAGGACUGGCCGCAGUCGCAGCCCAAGGCGGUCUGGAGGUAAUCACAGCCGUAGCCCAAGACGUACUGAAAGUCUUCGCUGCCGUAGCCCGAGACGGUCUGAAGGUCUUCGCAACCGCAGCCCGAGGCGUACUGAAGGUCAUCGCAGCCGUAGCCCGAGACGUUCCGAAGGUCAUCGCAGCCGCAGCCCAAAGCGUUCUGAAAAUCGUCGCAGCCCUAGCCCAAGCCGUAGUCGAAGGUGGUCAGAAAGCAAGCACAGCCGAGGUAGAACACCACCGAAGCGUAGUCAAAGCCGAAAAAGGUCAGAAAGUAGGCAGCGAGGUCGCCGUAGUCAAAGCCCUAGCUCUAAGCAAUCUCGACGAAGUACUAGUCGAGAUAAAAAGCAUGUCAGAAAAAGUCGAAGCCCUAAAGGAGAGAGGAAAAGUCGUAGUCGCAGCCGUAAGCGUUCAGUGAGCAAAGAAAGGUGCUCUUCACGACAUUCGAAAAGUGGCGAAAGGAAUUCUUCAGAUGAUGGCAAGUCUGAUGACAGAGAUAAAGGCAGGGAGGAGAAGACUUCCAGUGUAAAAGUGCCAGCAUCUGAUAAGAGCAGUGCAAGUUCUGUGGAUGCAGACAGUAAACAAAAACAGACAAAGUCUUCAGAAGAGAAAGCUAAAAGGGACAAAGUGACUGACAAAGAAAGUUCCACUGAUGCUGGCAAAAACCAGGUAGUUCUUUACGGACCGUUUGAGGAAGAAGCUAGUUUUGAUGAGGAACCAAGUCCCGAGAGAGCUGAACCAACUUCAAAACUUUUGCAGCCCGAGACAUGCUCAGGUGUUGCUGGCAAGACUUCGAAACACCAGCCAGCUACCAGUAGCCUUGAUGCAGUGCCGCUUCCAGCAGAGCCUGUUGCCCAGUCAGAAGACACUCUGCUAGAGGACAUGGACAUUUCAGACUCGCCAUCCUCCGGUGGAGUGCUAGAAGUAGAGGACAGCCUCAAUCAGAACCUUCCUUCUGGAGAAAAUCAGUGCUUGCCCUCCGUCACUUCUCGGCAUCAAACUGAAACCAGGGCCUCACAGCAGUGUGUGCAACCACAGAAGGUUGCCACACCUGAAGACACGUCAAAGAAGGCAACCCUUGCUAGAGCUGCGAUUCCUUGGAAUUAUAAUGAAGCACAGCCGCCACCACAGCCAUGGGUGAAGCCUGAAGUAACUAAGCCCGUAGGGCAAGUCAGGCCUUUUGUUAGAGAGGUCAGUUCGAAUGAGUCAGCAGUGCAAAAGGGUCUCUUGCAGGUUAAGCAGGAUGGAGUUGGUGCCAUCAUGGCUACAGUGCAGCCAUCGACUGAUCCUCCAUUGAGUGCACCCAGCAAGGCCACAAACAAAGCUGAAGAGCUGUCUGCUUUGGCAAGCCCUGCUGCAAAGGUGGCUGAGCAACCUGCUUUUCCUGAUCUUUCAGCAAAGCUACUGCCACAAAUGUCUCUCACGACUGUGUCGCCACCUGUAAAUGUGCACGGUGGGGCAUUGUAUUCGGCUACUGUGAUGCCAGUGCACGUCACUUCACAAUGUGUGGGUAUGCCAGGGCACGGUCAAGCUGGCCCUGGUGCUGUGCCGCCAGUCACGCAAGAAAAGCCCCCACAUGUAAUAGAGCAGCAGCAGCAGCAGCAAAGUCCACCCCAUGUUCAACAAAGCCGGGAUAAUCAGGGAUCGGACUCAGUGGACUCAAGUGGUGCUGCUUCCAAGGUUGUUGGCUCAACUGGAAGUGAAUCAGUCCCUUCAUCUCCCACCAAGGAGUCCAAAAAUGCAGAUACAGCUCCAGAUGUAGGUGCUGCAGAGAACAUCAAGGACACCAACGAGUCUGGGUGCUCGUCCAGAAGCUCUUCUCCAGCAGAGCGGCGAAGUCGAAGCAGUAGCAAGGAAAGAUUGAACUCUCGCAUGUCUAGAAGCUGUAGUGGGGACCGAGAAACCACAAAGCGAUCACGGAGUAGUGAAUCUCAAAGCCCAACCAAUGACAGCAAGCGGCUGCGCAAGGAUGACCGCACGGACUUGGAGAAAAGGAAAACAAAGAGUGAGAGUCAUGAUAGACGUGGUAGUGCAAGCCCAGACCGCAGUGCACGUGACAGUCGGGCUAGGAAGAAGAGCGUGAGCCCAGACAGAAAGCAGAGCAAGAGUCAUGACCGUAAGAGGAGCAAGAGCCGUGACAAGAGGCGGAGUAAAAGCCGUGACAGAAGAAGCAAGAGUCGGGACAGAUGUAGAAGCCAUAGUCGUGAUAGAAAGGGAAGCCCAAGCCGCAAACGGAGGAGAAGCAAGAGUCGCGAAAGAAGACCAAGCAAAAAUCGAGAACGAAAGAGAAGCAAGAGUCGGGACAGGAAGAGGAGCAAAAGCCGAGACAGGAAGAAGAGCAGGAGCCGGGAACGACAAAGGAGCAAAAGCCGUGAACGAAAAAGGAGCAAGAGUCGGGACCGGAGAAGAAGCAAAAGCCGUGAUAGGAGGAGGAGCCGAAGCCGAGACCGGAAGAGAAGCAAGAGCCGGGAACGGCGUAGUAGUGCAGUGCGCAGUAGUGGAGUGCGGUCGUCUCGAAGGAGAAGUGGCAGCAGGUCUCGCAGGAGCCGCAGCCGCGACCAAUCCAAGAGACAUAGCCGAAGCAGAGAGAGGAUGCGCCCUCAGCGAAGCCAGAGCAGGGGCAGAGACUCAAGCAGGAGGAGAUCUAGGGACAAAGAAAUGCCUAGGGGAUGCCUGAUCCUGAAGGGAUACAAGAACGAGCUUAGCAGUGAGUCCGAGAGCAGCCCCGAAAGAAAAAGCACAGUGAAGCCAUCUUCGCCAGUCAAAAAAAGACAGCGUAGGGAAAGUGAUGCUGAAAGCGUCGACUCUGAGGAGGAUAAGCCUGAAGACAACAGGGUAGCAUCACCAAUGAUGUCCGACACUAGUAAGCCUGAUGCAGAUGGUAAGGGUGAUCAUUGCGCAGAUAGUGGCAAAGAGAAAGAACUUCAAAAGCUUGCAUCCUCUGAAACAUUAGGGAGCAAGGAUAAACUCAAGGAUGCCCCAUAUGGGCCGCUUCCCCCAAAUGAAGCCAGCACUUCUCCAGCAGUCAUGGAAGUGCAGCACUCUGAUGAUGAAAUGGAUGAUGAGCAGGAUGUGCAGGCUGGCUCUGAUGGUUGCUCACCAAUGAAAACGAAACCAGAUGGUAAGGCACUUGGCGCUCCUGUUGUGAGCAGCAGUAGCUCUAAAGAGAGCAUUUGCUCGGUUAAGGACACCUUGGUGGCGAGUAGCGAAAGUCAGUCUGCCAGUCUCGAAGCUUCUCAGGACUGCAAAUUGCGUAGAAGUCCAGAACCGAAGCAAGACCGACAAGAAAAAAGUACAAAUAAAGAAGACAAGUCACACUGUGAGAAGUUAAUCAUCCCAAGCGGUGAAAGCGCAGUGUCGAGCUCAACUGGCAGCCCUGGAGAUCCAGAAGGGCAACCCAAAAUCAGGCCACUUUCUGGAACCUUGCACACAGAUAAGUUGAAUGAAGAGAAUUCACCCUCUGAGCAACGUCCAGUGGCCUGCACAGAUGACAGCGAUGAAAAGAAGCCAAGCACGAUGACAGUCGACAAAACUAGAGAAGCCAGCUGCAAUGAUGACACAAGGAGUACUUCAGACAGUGGACGCAAGAGUCGCAGCAGGAGUCCGUCAAGCACAUCUUCCAUUGAAAAAGCUAGGACAAGGAAGCAGUCUUCAUCGUCAAGCAGGAGUCGAAGUCAUGAGAGACAUACUUCUAAAGAGCCGAGCAAAAGCAGAAGCACCUCCCCAGACAGCCCCGGUGUGGAGAUUCGAGAUGAAAGUCCAGAAAAAAAAAGCCAAGGCAAAGUCAAGAAAAGAAGCCAUAGCAGAGAAAAGAAGAGAAGCAAAAGUCGAGAGAAGAAACAAAGUCCCAGCCGUAGUAGGGAAAAGAAGAGGAGUCAUAGUCGCGAAAAAAAGAGAAGCGUGAGCCGAGAGAAGAAAAGGAGCAAAAGUCGCGAGAGGAGAAUGAGCCCUAGUCGAGAUAGAAGUCGCCGCAGCAGGGAGAAGAAAAGAAGCAGAAGCCGAGAGAAAAAACGAAGUCCCAGCCGAGAAAAGAAGAGGAGCCGCAGUCGUGAGAAACGAAGGAGUCGUAGCAGAGAUAAAAGGAGGAGCCGCAGCCGCGACAAGAAGAGGAGCCGUAGUCGGGACAAGAAGAGAAGCCGCAGCCGAGAGAAGAAGCGAAGCAUAAGCAGAGAGAGGCGCAGGAGCCGUAGCCGAGACAGGAGGAGGAGCCGCAGCAGAGACAAGAAGAUUAGCCCCAUCCGGGACAGGAAGCGCAGCCGCAGCCGAGAGAGGAGGAGGAGUCGCGAUAAGAAUAGCCCGAGUCGGAGCCGAGACAGGCGGAGGAGCCGGAGCCGAGAGAGGAGGCGUAGCAGGAGCCGUGCACGACGAAGCUGGAGUCGGGCCAUGGAACUGCAGCGCAGACGGAGUGCUGAACGAUUGCGUAAGAAGAGCAGGAGCCCUCGGAAAAGAAGCCUGAGCAAGAGGAGGUCACCGCCGCCACGUAAGAAGAGUCGCAGCCGCAGCCGAAGCCGGCGGCGUUCUAGAACACACAGUCCAGAGAGAAAGAGAAAGAGCCGCAGCCGUGAAAGAAUGCUACCGCAAGGCCACAGCAACCAGCAGGGAGUACUCCUCAGCCACAGGAACAGAGAGAGCAGGGAGCCCUCAGUGGUCAAGGUGGACAAGGCCCAGCUGCUGGAGGCUGCUCGCAAGAACAUGCAGGCCAUGUUACAGCGUGGUGUGGUCGCCAAGGGUCUCCCCGUGGCUGCAGCGGCAGCUGUGAACGCGACUGUCAAAGGUCUGGAUGCGGAGUGAAAGAAACUUAGCAUUUGUCUGCUACUGGUGGCCUCUGGGGUAACAGUAGAAAAGGUGGUGGCAGCGGCAGUGGCAGCUGCUGCAGCUGAUCCGAAGUCAUCGCUGGCUGCCAGGUUGGAUGUGGGUGCGGCUGCGACUUCGACACCCCCGAGUGAGGCUCCAGUCUUGCCCUUGGCAUUGUCAGGAGAUGGCACGGGCCCC